UACGGAGGGGGCUAGCGUUGUUCGGAAUUACUGGGCGUAAAGCGCACGUAGGCGGCUUUGCAAGUUAGAGGUGAAAGCCCGGGGCUCAACUCCGGAAUUGCCUUUAAAACUGCAUCGCUAGAAUUGUGGAGAGGUAAGUGGGAAUUCCGAGUGUAGAGGUGAAAUUCGUAGAUAUUCGGAAGAACACCAGUGGCGAAGGCGGCUCUCUGGGCCUUACCUGACGCUGAGGAGCGAAAGCGUGGGGAGCGAACAGG
rnacentral:rRNA from 1 species